rnacentral:rRNA from 1 species
AGAAUCAACGCUGGCGGCGUGCCUAACACAUGCAAGUCGAACGCGACUGAGGGCUUCGGCUCUCAGUUGAGUGGCGAACGGGUGAGUAACACGUGGGUGAUCUACCUUUGAGUGGGGGAUAACGUUCCGAAAGGAACGCUAAUACCGCAUGACGUUCUGGGUUUAAAGACCUGGAAACCAAAGCCGGGGACCGCAAGGCCUGGCGCUUGAAGAGGAGCCCGCGUCCGAUUAGCUAGUUGGCGGGUAACGGCCCACCAAGGCGACGAUCGGUAGCCGG